UCGGGGAUAACAGGCUUAUCUCCCCCAAGAGUCCACAUCGACGGGGAGGUUUGGCACCUCGAUGUCGGCUCAUCGCAUCCUGGGGCUGUAGUCGGUCCCAAGGGUUGGGCUGUUCGCCCAUUAAAGCGGUACGCGAGCUGGGUUCAGAACGUCGUGAGACAGUUCGGUCCCUAUCCGUCGCGGGCGCAGGAAAUUUGAGAGGAGCUGUCCUUAGUACGAGAGGACCGGGAUGGACGCACCGCUGGUGUACCAGUUGUUCUGCCAAGGGCAUCGCUGGGUAGCUAUGUGCGGACGGGAUAAGUGCUGAAAGCAUCUAAGCAUGAAGCCCCCCUCAAGAUGAGAUUUCCCAUUCCGCAAGGAAGUAAGAUCCCUGAAAGAUGAUCAGGUUGAUAGGUCUGAGGUGGAAGUGUGGCGACACAUGGAGCUGACAGAUACUAAUCGAUCGAGGACUUAACCUAAA
rnacentral:rRNA from 1 species